AAUCCUUUGUUCAUUUUUUAACUGGGUUAUUUAUCUCUAUUUUUGAGGUGGAGUUCUUUAUAUAUUUUGGAUACCAGAUCCUCAUCAGAUACGUGAUUUGCAAGUAUUUUUUCCCAUUUGAGUUUUCUUCACAUACCUGAGUGUCUUGACCAGUUUUUAAUUUUGAUGAAGUCCAAUUUCUUUCAUUUUAGCUAGCUUGUGCUUUAGUGUCAUAUCUAAAUCCAUUGCCUAGUCCAAGGUCAUGAAGAUUUACACCUAUGUCUUCUAAGAGUUUUAAAUAAUUUUAGCUCUUAAAUUUAGGUCUUUGAACCUAAUUUUGAGUUAAUUUUUGUAUAUGGUGUGAGGUAGGAGGCCAAGCAUUCCUUCCUCCUAAAAACUGUUCUAGACCUCUUUGUGGGCCUUCCAGUUUCUAAGAUGUUUGUCUGGUUCUUUGCUCUAUGACCACUCCUCAAACCCCUUUCUCUACAGUUCGUCCCUGGACAUCCAGUGACUCUCAUUUUCAUCUCUCAUCCACAUCUCUCGAGUUCACUAUUUCCACCUUCUGUACAAUUGACCCAGAUGUAACACAAGCACCAAAAGUCAACAUGACCAAAAUGGGACUCAUCUUGUUCACAAACCCACCUCUCCUGCUUUUCCUAGAUCUGAUAAAAGACCACCACCCGUUCCAUCCCUCAAGCAAUUUUAAAUACAGAAAAUUUCAAAUAUGUGCAAAAGUAGAAGAAUAUAACGAACCCUGUCACAUAGCCUCAGCAAUUAGCAACUUGUGGCCAAUCUUGUUUCAUUUAUACCACUGUCUACUUCUCCCCCUUACCAUAGCCUGACACCAUAGCAUUCAUCUAUAAAUAUUUCAAUAUAUAUUUUUAAAGGUGUGGACUUAUUUUAGAACCAUCACAAUACCAUUGUACCAAAAAAUUAACAUUAAUUCCUUAAUGUUAUGAAGUACUUUAAGUUGCAUGUGUUAUUUUUAGGUAAUUUAUUUGUUUGAAUGAGAAUCCAGACAGGUCUACCUACGUAUUGCAGUUGGUUGGCAUAUUUCCUGGGAUGUCUUUGAGCCUAUAGGCUCCUCACUGUUUCCCAGUCUGGAUUUUGCUAUUAUCUCUAUGGUGUUAUUUAACAGGUUUCUCUAUCCUUUGUAUUUACUGUUAAUUAGGAAUAGAUCUAGAGGUAUGACUGGAUUCACAUCGAGUGGCAAGAAAACCUCAUAGAUAGUGUUGUAUGCUUUCCUCAGGGGAGACAUCCUGUCUGGUUGUCUGUGUUUAUAUGUUGCAGUCACUGAAAUUCAAUGCCUAGAUCCAUUAAUUCAUCAAGGGUUGCAAAAUGGUGAUAUUCUAGUUCUGCCAUUCCUUCUUCAUAUAAUACCUGAAAUACCACGAUAGAGAGAUACUUUCAGUCAUCUCCUAUUUAGUUACCCAGAGUUAUAGUUUAUACAGAAAAAGAGGAUAAUUGCACGAAUCUCUUGCCAGUUUUCAAAUUAGUGAGUUGGUUUUACUAGCAUCCUCCACAAGUGACCACUGAGUUGUUUUUAGUGUUUUUAGUGUCAUGAUCACUGAAUUAAACAUUAUAGUUUUCAGUUCAUUGCAGUUAUUAAACUUAAUGCUCAAGUUGUCCUUAUUUUUGCCCAGUUGGGGGCCUCUUGUUGGCUCCUGAGUCCUUUUGAUAUGACCCUUUUGGUGGUAAUAUUUGGUAACCUUGCUAUCUAGUAUGAUAGAAUUUACCACAUUUAGCUUGUAUGUUUCCUGCUCCAAACCUGGAGUUGGCUAUUUCUAGGGGGAAAAAACAGAAAUCCUGGUUCUUUCUAGUGGUGAAUGGCAUUGCAGAGCCAAAAUCUGGGCUCUAGAAUGCCCGCUGCUACUGCAUUGUCAUUAUUAUAGGCCUUUUUGGUGCACAGAGCUAGGACAUGUUUUGUUUUUAAGAUAAAACAUCUUUUUUAAGGUAAAAUACAUUGAUACUUUCCAUUCGAAUUCAAGACUUCAGAGAUUUUUCUUAACUACGUCUGUAUAUUUUUCUCAACACUGAGAAUCCCAGUGCUCAUUUGUACCCUGAAUUAUAAAAUUAGAAUAUCACAAUUACUCAAUUGUUUUAUUGUAUUACACAACAGUAUCAGAAGAACAAAGGCGUUUACGGUUGUGUUUGCAGUUCUUUUUGUUGUUGGUGUAUUUCCUACAGGGCAUAUACAGUCAACUUACUGUGUUUUAAACUUACAUAGUCUAAUUUCUCUCUGUGUAGCUUCCUACUAACUGGAUACACAUUUACAUUAACCUGGGUUAUGUAUUUUCCCAUUUUUAAGAAUUUCUUUUAGUUUAAUUUUAAUUAUGUAAAAUAUUUAUAUAGUUCUAAGUCUAAUCUACAAAACAAGAUAUAUUCAAAGAAGUCUUGUUUCUAUUCCUAUGUCCUCUGCCUUACUCCCACCCUUCCUAUUUAGUGACCCUUUUUAUUUGAUUUAAUCUUUCUCCCCCUUUCUUAUAUAAAGAUAGCAUCCUAUAGGGCCAGCCCCAAUGGCCUAGUGGUUAAGUUCACCGCAGUCUGCUUUGGUGGCCCAGGUUCAGUUCUUAGAUGUGGACGUACACUGCUCAUUAGCAGCCAUGCUGUGCUGGCGGCCCACAUACUAAAAACUAGGGGAAUAUUGGCACAGGUGUUAGCUCAGAACGAAUGUUCCUCAGCAAAAAUAAAAAACAUAAUUUCUCCACCUUGCUUAUUGAUGUAAUAAUUCUGGAGAUAUGUUCUAGAGAUUCCUCAGUCCUUUUACAACAGCAUAAAAUGAUAAAUGUUUGGUCUCAAUUCCAUCAUAUUGUUUCAUGUUAUAUUUACAUGUAUCCCAAGUCUUUUUAUAUAGUCUUAUAUAGUGUAUAUUUUUUCUCUUUUAGUUUUUUUUAGCUGUUUGUUUUUGGUAUUUAGAAAGGUGUGUGUUUUCAUUUAAUGGUUAACUUUGUAUUAAUGCCUUUAUAUAAUCUUAUCUCCUCCAACUUCCCUGAGACUUCCAGUUCAUUGACCCUACCUCUUUUUCACCUUUCCCCACCAGUCACCUCCUCUCUUCACUUCCCUUCCAUCUCAGCCUAGAUUCCAUUGUCCAGCACUAAAACCACACUCAGCUCCCUUUCCUCUUUCCAUCACACUCACUGGGCAGUUAGCUGGCACCUGCACCCACUGGCAUGCUGACCUGACUCACUUUUUAGUUAUGACCACAUUUCAAAUGGGCCCUCAACACUGCCAAACUCUCCUGUUGAAUUUCCCUCAAAUAUUCACCUUUCCUCUCUUGGAUAACGUAUUUCACACCUUCACCUCAUCUCCCGUCUCCAGCACCCUCUUUGAUGAAUUCCCCUCAAACUUCAUAGUCAUGGAAGAUGCAGUCAGAAAGGAGGUACCUCAUCUUCCCAUCACCUCCUCUACUACUUAUAUGCAGUGUUGUGUGCACAUGCCCCACAGUCCCCCUGUACUAUUUUGGGGGAGCCCCUCUCUUCUCUAAGUCCAAACCUUCAACUUGUGAUCCAGAUCUACCCCUCUCAGCUUCUCUAAGACUAAACCUGUGCAGGUGUCCCCUUUCUCUCGUCUUAGCCAUUUCUUCUCUGCUGGAUCAUUCUUGCCUGCACACACACUAUGCCUUAAAAGCAUCUGCCCUUGGCCGUCUUGAGCCACCACCCCACUUUUCUGCUCCGCUUUACAGCAAAACUCCUUGAAGAUGUGUUCUCCAUCACCACUUUCUCUACCCCCAUUCUCUCCUCCACCCACUCCAAUAAGGAGACUUUUGCUCCCACCACCUGUUACAUCAUGCCAGAGUCAAAAUCUCUGCUUCAUCUUCCUUUUUGUCUCAACCUCUUUUCUUAGGUGUCCACAGCUGGUAUUGUGACUUGAAAUAUCAUCUUUAUGACAGUGACUCAAAUUUUUAUCUCCAGACGGAGCCUCUCCCCUCAGCUCCAUCUUAGACCACUUAAUAGACUUCACCAAUCUAACAUGGGCAAGAAAUUUAUUCAUUUUUGUAAUAAAGUAAUUUCCCCAGAAGCUGUCCCCAUUUAAAUAAAUGGUACCAUCAUCCACCAAAACGUUCAUUUCUCCCUCUCCCUCAUGGUCCAUAAUCAGUUCAUCAGUAAAUCCUGUUGGCCCAAGUUUUAAAAUCUGUUGUGGACCCACUCACUUCCACCGUCUGCAGUAUACACCUGCGUGGACACAAACCCUGUAAGUUCCCUGUGGGUCCUCAACUGCCUCUUCAGCCCUCUCAGGGGAACCCCACCUGCACAUCAUCCCUCCACUUGCAGAGCUGGAUGAAACCCACUCCUACGGCAGGAGCUCAGGCUUCCUGGCAGCCUAGUAGAUGGUUGAUUCAGUCCAGAACUGUGGAGACAUUAGCUCCCACAUUAUUAGAGGUAAAUGUUGAAAAACAGGAAACAGGAGGUGGAAGGGCAGGGAACUGGGCUGAUAACUGCCUCCUUCCUCUCUGAGGUUCCUCCUUUUUGUGCCAAGUAAAUACACCUGCUGAGUGACCUACUGUGUCUCUGCAGCCCGUUGGGAAGUGGUAGCCAGUACAUAAUGCAUCACAUCUCAUUGCUUUGUGUCUUUCCUUGCCCUCAUCACCCUAGGCUUGCAUUUCCCAAGUAAAGUGUGAGCACCUUAAUCCUCUCCUCAGCCUCCUCAAGGACUAAAGUUAACACCAAGGGCCCCCAGAUUGUAUAAAUUUUAAACGCUACAAAAUCUGGAUCUUUCCCUGCCCAGAAUGAUAACUGCUCACCAGGUGUAAAGGGCAGACACUCCAGACUGAAGCAGAAGGAAGACUCUAAGAGAAGUGUCUUCGAGCAGAUGGUAUUGACAGAGUGUAGCUGGUGGGCAUGGGGAUGUGCCUCCAGAGAUCCCUUCCAGGAAGAGCUUGACGCCCAGCUUCAGGAAGUUUGGACAGCAGACCACCUCCAGCUCUCAGCUCCUUCAGCAUUUGCCUCAGUUGCAGAGAGCUGUCUGGCCCAAGAUCAGCUGCUUCCCUGGGGUAUAAAGGCCUGGCCUUCUCACCCAGGCUCAGGACUCUCUGAUGGACAGCACUUGCUUCAGAGCUCCCUGCCAGGCUGGUGGAGGCUUCGCCAGGCCUCACUGCAUUUUGACUUCUCUCUCUGCCGGAUCCUGCUUCCGCCCACUUCCCUUCACAUGUGUCGAUCCCUAAUAAACACCUCUGUCUCCACGUCCGCCCCCAGAGACAGCAACCUGAGACACCUGAUUUGUACGAACAUCCUGAGAAGCCAUUUAGAUAACUGGUGGAGAAUGGAAUACAUAAGCACUAAGCAAGUGGCAAAACAGGACAGUUAUUAACUCUUGGGAAAACAAAAAGUUGUACAGGAAAGGAAAAGGAAUCAUAGCUUACAGAUAAUAAUGUAAACAAUGACUAUGGGACUAACCAAAAUUAUGCUGGCAGUUUGGGGAGGUGGGGGUCAUGUAUAUGGUGGGGCAGGUGAUGGCGAAAGAGAGUGAAAACUUUAUCUUCCAGAGUAGAAAAUCAAGAGAGAGUGCUUAAAACUGAAACAUCAAAAAGUGACAAGACAAGCAUGUUGGUUGCAGAUAAAUAGAAAAACAUAGUCAGCUAAAGAGUUGAAAAUAGGUGUCUCUGGGAAAGUGGAAGCCGGGGAAGAGGGUGGCGGACUGCCUCUUGUUUUCAAAGA